rnacentral:rRNA from 1 species
CCUACGGGCGGCAGCAGUCGAGAAUCAUUCACAAUGGGGGAAACCCUGAUGGUGCGACGCCGCGUGGGGGAAUGAAGGUCUUCGGAUUGUAAACCCCUGUCAUGUGGGAGCAAAUUAAAAAGAUAGUACCACAAGAGGAAGAGACGGCUAACUCUGUGCCAGCAGCCGCGGUAAUACAGAGGUCUCAAGCGUUGUUCGGAAUCACUGGGCGUAACGCGUGCGUAGGCUGUUUCGUAAGUCGUGUGUGAAAGGCGCGGGCUCAACCCGCGGACGGCACAUGAUACUGCGAGACUAGAGUAAUGGAGGGGGAACCGGAAUUCUCGGUGUAGCAGUGAAAUGCGUAGAUAGCGAGAGGAACACUCGUGGCGAAGGCGGGUUCCUGGACAUUAACUGACGCUGAGGCACGAAGGCCAGGGGAGCGAAAGGGAUUAGAUACCCCUGUAGUC